rnacentral:lncRNA from 10 species
CAAGGCCCAGCUCAAAUGGCACCUCCUCUGUGAAGACAUCCUUGAUUCCACUAAUAGCAGUGGUCAGGCUUUUAGCCUGACUAAAACCAGGGAUCCUUUAGUCAGGCACUAUUUUAUCAUUUUCAAGAAUUCAAUGAGGUCCUGACUGAAACAGCUGAACCAAGAUGGCAGGAGGAAGGGACAGGAAAGCCAGUCUGAUUCCAGAAUCAAAUCAUCAGUCUGAGAUUUCAGCACCAACACCACUGGCAAACAGAGGGUCAGAAGGCAAGGAAGUCUGCAGGCAAAGGCCCUCCCUGCAAUUCUGUGAACAGCUCCCAUAACGCACUGCUGAUGGGGCCACCUGGGAACAUCCAGGCUGGGAUGGUACAAGAGCUCUCCAGGGGACCCAGGCUUCAGGGAAUGAUGUGUGAACACAGGAGAAAGAACUGGUACCCUGAAUGCUCAUGUUUCAACCUAAGAGGAAAUGUUUGCAGACACCAGGCUAUCAACUAAUCACAAUUUGUUGUCUGAAAAAAAAAAACAGAAACAAAAAACCCAAUGUCCAUGUCACAUUAAUAUAUCUCAUUGAAAACUAC